CCUGCCUCUCUUCUCCAAGCAGGGCUCCCAUCUCUUCAGGCUGGGCUAACAUCAUUACACACUCCUGUCAGGUGACCACAGGUAACUGAAAUGUGGGACACUGAAGACAGGAAGGAGGGUCUGCUGUAUGCAGACAUUGUGAUGUUUCUCAUAAGGCCCUCAGAGAUCUUGGGCUUUGCACUCUAUUUUUAACAAUGAGUCAUUUGCCUUGAGAUGCUGUUGGCUGUCCAAACUCAUGAUUUGGAAGAUAUCUCUCCCUGUUUUGAACAAACCAAAACAACAACAACAACAACAACAAAUCCUACAGGAUCAUCCCGGCAAAACUAAAGCAUGGCAUAUUUCACCCUUCCUAGAGAUAUCACAGGCAACAUCCAUGUAACUUUCACAACAUAAUUUGCUGCAAAAAUGCAGAGUGUAGUCUGUAUCCCUUCAAGUGCUGUGUGGAGCCUCUGUCAAGAUGCAUCUUUCAUGUUUCCAUAUUAAGUAAACAGUCAUUUUUAGGAGCAACAAGAACCUGCUUUGUUGAUAAUGAAAAAUGAUGCUUGACUACAUUUUAUAGAGGAAUUUUAAUCCAGCAAUAUGUCUGCUCUGGCAAGGAACCACAUCCAAAGAUCCAGGUCUGUGUGAUCUGGGUGGAACACAGACAUGACAUACACCUUUAAUCCCAAACAAUGUAGGGACUAGAAGAUUUCUUAUGUCACUUUUUAUCUGCACCACCACUUUGCCUUUAAAGAAGAUGUAUCCCAAUUUUCAAGACCAGACCUUAUGUACUGUACUGAAGAUUAUCUGUUAGGGACAGCAAACUAUACCACGUCAUAGGAAAAGACUGUUUCAAAUCUCUAAAAUGUCAGGAGCAGAGAAAGUCCUGAGUCUGUGGAGUGAAUAUCUUUUGAUAAAGGUGCAGCCAUGUUAAUGACUUCAAAUUGCUGGGCUCAGAGAGAUGGCAAAGCCUUCCAAGGGAACUGAAGGACUGGAUUCCCAAAAGGUUUGGAGUGAUGUUCUUCUGGUAAAUUUACAUAAUAAGCUGCUGCAGAUUGGACUCAAUACAGAUUAAACAAUGCCAAAUGCAAUGGGCCAGAGAGAUGGUUCAAUGAUUAGAAAUGUGUACUACUUUUGCCCAAGACCUGAGAUGGCUUCCCAGCACCUACAUUACAGCGUUGAUCAUUGCCUCUGACCACAGCUCCAGUAGAUCGGGCAUCCUUUUCUGUCAUCUGUGGGCAUGCGUGCUAUGUGCACAUACACAAAGACACACACAAAACGUGCAUAAAUAUUACAAAAAAGACAAUAAACCUUUUAUAAAAUGAAGUACUUUUUGGAACUUAACUCUUUAAAACAAGUAAUGCUGUAUGAAGUGUUGCUGUUUUUGUAAUUCUUAAAGUUCAAAAAGGUGAUUGUAAUUUCACUGUUUGAAUCUCUCAUGCAAAACUGCUGUGUGAAGUGCACAAUAAAGUCCAUCUUAAGGGAUAAUCCAAAUAUGCAUUUUAUUAAAGAAAUAAUCUAUU
rnacentral:lncRNA from 1 species